CAAGUAGUCAGGUUUGAUUGCUUUAGCUGCAAGCUUACUAGCUUAAACUAUUUCAGUCAUAAUUAGAGACUCGUACAGGGAACUUAUAAGUUGCUGUCAGGACAUUCUGAGGCCAUAGUGGUCAUCAAAGUCUGGAACAUAAAAUAAGCAUAUUGGAGAGAGAAAGGGGGGCAGUGAUCUUAGAGUCUGUAGUCUUUUUUACUUCCCAGAGGGAAGAAACAACUCAAGCAAGAAGAGUGCUCAGAUUGUCAACGUUAGUCAGAGCCUGUGGUGACCAAGCACUCGGAAGUGGAAUGUAUACUUGGAGGUUCAAGAAGGCUGCUUUUAACUUAGAGGUGUUUUUGACUUCCUCAAAAGAUCUCUUCCAUUUUCCUAAGACGGCCUCAUGGUGGGGCUUCCUCUGCUGUGCUAGCCUCCCUUGCUGAUCAGCCUGUGUCCCUUGCUGGGGCCUACAGCUCUGUGACACCUGGAUAGAGAAGUUGGAUUGUGUCUAAAGGGAAACUGAGUCUACAAACUUGUCUCUGACUCACAAACAUACGAUGGCAUGUGUUUCCCCACC
rnacentral:lncRNA from 1 species